rnacentral:rRNA from 1 species
UACAGAGGGUGCAAGCGUUGUUCGGAAUUAUUGGGCGUAAAGGGCGCGUAGGCGGUUCGGCAAGUCUCUAGUGAAAUCUCUGGGCUCAACUCAGAGUCUGCUGGGGAAACUGCCGGGCUUGAGUAUGGAAGAGGGUCUCGGAAUUCCCGGUGUAGAGGUGAAAUUCGUAGAGAUCGGGAGGAACACCAGUGGCGAAGGCGGAGACCUGGGCCAAUACUGACGCUGAGGUGCGAAAGCGUGGGGAGCAAACAGG